GGGUCAAUGAUGAGAACUCAUAUGGUCAUGAAGAGAGAUGAGGACCAAAAAUCAUGCUCAAUAGGAUUACGCUGAGGCCC
ensembl:snoRNA SNORD115 Small nucleolar RNA SNORD115